GAUCAGUUGACUCACUGUACAAUACCUCUCCCCUUCAGUCUACUGCAGGGUGGGAGAUGCAACAAUGGCCUUGAGAACAGCAGGAAGUGUGUUGGUGGUCUUUCUCUGGUCUGUAGCAGUGGUACUGGGUCAGGAUGGCUGGAGAGUGACAUACACCACUCAGAGUAUCUGUACCUUGAAGGGCUCAACAGUUGAGCUGUCCUGCUCUUACACAUAUCCCAGUGGUUAUACAGUCACAACUACCUUCUGGUUCACUAAAAAUGAUGCUGAGGGGAAUUAUGUGAGUCUGAGUGAUGACCCAGACUACAAAGGACGUGUGACAUACCGUAGGGAUAAAGAGAAUGGUCACACCCUGUCAAUCACAGACCUGAGAGAGAGAGACUCAGCUACAUACAAAUUCAGAUUUACAGAUCAAACUGGGAAAUGGAGAUAUACCGGCAAUCCUGGAGUCACUCUGUCUGU